rnacentral:misc_RNA from 1 species
AUAAGAAAAUGAGCGGAGAACAGAGCGCUCAAAACAAUGAGGUGGGAUAGCUUUCUUGACCUGACCAAGCGUGAAUGGUGGUUUUGAGUAAGGAACUCUUUUCAAGAUUUCAGAUUCCAACUUCUUGGGCGAAGGAGGAACAGACAUCCUACCACCGGCUCCCAUUGUUCCACAACCUGAUAAAGGAAGAGGAAGAAUAAAAGAAGAAGGAGAACGAGAAGAAGAGAAAGAAAGCUCUGAACUUUUCAAUCUCAAAAUAUCUCCCUGUGUGGCCGUAGAAUGAAUCGCUGGCCCUG